GUACCUUCAAGCUCUGCUUGGUGUUGGGCGUUUGUCCCCCGUUUCUACCGGGUGGACUCGCCUCAAAACAAUUGGCAGCCAGUGUUUUUGGCGUUGAAGCGCAGCACAAGUCGCGCUUCUGACCCAGUACGCUUGCGUCCAUAAGCCUAUUUCUCAC
rnacentral:misc_RNA from 1 species